UACGUAGGGUGCGAGCGUUGUCCGGAAUUAUUGGGCGUAAAGAGCGUGUAGGCGGCCAGGUAGGUCCGUUGUGAAAACUCGAGGCUCAACCUCGAGACGUCGAUGGAAACCAUCUGGCUAGAGUCCGGAAGAGGAGAGUGGAAUUCCUGGUGUAGCGGUGAAAUGCGCAGAUAUCAGGAAGAACACCUAUGGCGAAGGCAGCUCUCUGGGACGGUACUGACGCUGAGACGCGAAAGCGUGGGGAGCGAACAGG
rnacentral:rRNA from 1 species